AUUGAACGCUGGCGGCAGGCCUAACACAUGCAAGUCGGGCGUGCGGCGGACGGGCGAGUAAUGUAUGGUGAUAUGCAUGAUGGAGGGGGAUAAAUAGUGGAAACGGUAGCUAAUACCGCAUAACAUCAGAUGAACCCAUAGGGGAUUAGCUUGUAGGUAAGGUAACGGCAUACAUAGGCGACGAUCCCUCGCUGGUCUGAGAGGAUAAUCGGCCACACUGGGACUGAGACGCGGCCCAGACUCCUACGGGAGGCAGCAGUGGGGAAUAUUGCACAAUGGGCGCAAGCCUGAUGCAGCCACGCCGCGUGUAUGAAGAAGGCCUUCGGGUUGUAAAGUACUUUCAGUCGGGAGGCGUUACCGACAGAAGAAGCACCGGCUAACUCCGUGCCAGCAGCCGCGGUAAUAC
rnacentral:rRNA from 1 species